rnacentral:tRNA from 1 species
GCGCCCAUAGCUCAACUGGAUAGAGCACUAGCCUACGGAGCUAGGUGUUAGAGGUUCAAAUCCUCUUGGGCGCA